rnacentral:lncRNA from 1 species
AGUCUUUUCAUUUGCGUUUAUUUAAACACAGUUCUCAAAACAUUUGAGUGAAAUUGGGCCUCCUUUGGUAAGCAAAGGACCUGAAAGUAAUAUUUAAAAAAUGAACAGGCAAAGUCUUCAGAUCAUCCACAACACAGGUGUAGUGUUCCCUUCUUUUUUCUCAAAACUCUGAAGCACCCAGUUUUUCCAUAUAAUCUUAAAAGCUAGAAGAACAAGAGUACAUUUGUGGUGGAAUGUAUUGUCACUUGCUGAUAACUAAUUGAAAUACCAUUAUCCCCUUCUAACAGCUUUAAGAAAUAGCCUUUUUAAGGCAUACAUUGUGUAACUCAUCUUAUUCCCUGCUAUAUAUAAUACAGAUUACAUAAAGGCUGACAAAUUCACAUUUAUAUAAGCAUUAAGCAUUUGCUGUAUUGAAAGAUCUUUAGUUUUUAACACUAGCAGUAUAGAGUUACAGAGCAUAAUUUUUAUCACUUAAUUGCAGGUAUAUUAAGUAUGGUAUGUUUCAUGGACUCGAGGAGAACGGGCAUUUUUGUCUUUAAUUUACUACUGACAAUCUA